GAUGAACGCUGACAGAAUGCUUAACACAUGCAAGUCAACUUGAACUUCGGUUUGGGUGGCGGACGGGUGAGUAACGCGUAAAGAACUUGCCUCACAGAUAGGGACAACAUUUGGAAACGAAUGCUAAUACCUGAUAUUAUGAUUUUAGGGCAUCCUAGAAUUAUGAAAGCUAUAUGCGCUGUGAGAGAGCUUUGCGUCCCAUUAGCUAGUUGGAGAGGUAACGGCUCACCAAGGCGAUGAUGGGUAGCCGGCCUGAGAGGGUGAUCGGCCACAAGGGGACUGAGACACGGCCCUUACUCCUACGGGAGGCAGCAGUGGGGAAUAUUGGACAAUGGACCAAGAGUCUGAUCCAGCAAUUCUGUGUGCACGAUGAAGUUUUUCGGAAUGUAAAGUGCUUUCAGUUGGGAAGAAAAAAAUGACGGAACCAACA
rnacentral:rRNA from 1 species